rnacentral:rRNA from 1 species
GAUGAACGCUGGCGGCGUGCCUAAUACAUGCAAGUCGAGCGAACAGACGAGGAGCUUGCUCCUCUGACGUUAGCGGCGGACGGGUGAGUAACACGUGGAUAACCUACCUAUAAGACUGGGAUAACUUCGGGAAACCGGAGCUAAUACCGGAUAACAUGUUGAACCGCAUGGUUCAACAGUGAAAGACGGUCUUGCUGUCACUUAUAGAUGGAUCCGCGCCGCAUUAGCUAGUUGGUAAGGUAACGGCCUACCAAGGCAACGAUGCGUAGCCGACCUGAGAGGGUGAUCGGCCACACUGGAACUGAGACACGGUCCAGACUCCUACGGGAGGCAGCAGUAGGGAAUCUUCCGCAAAGGGCGAAAGCCUGACGGAGCAACGCCGCGUGAGUGAAGAAGGUCUUCGGAUCGUAAAACUCUGUUAUUAGGGAAGAACAAAUGUGUAAGUAACUAUGCACGUCUUGACGGUACCUAAUCAGAAAGCCACGGCUAACUACGUG